rnacentral:rRNA from 1 species
AUACGGAGGGUGCAAGCGUUAUCGGGAAUCAUUGGGUUUAAAGGGUCCGUAGGCGGACUAUUAAGUCAGAGGUGAAAUCCCACAGCUCAACUGUGGAGCUGCCUUUGAUACUGGUAGUCUUGAGUUAUAUGGAAGUAGAUAGAAUGUGUAGUGUAGCGGUGAAAUGCAUAGAUAUUACACAGAAUACCGAUUGCGAAGGCAGUCUACUACGUAUAUACUGACGCUAAGGGACGAAAGCGUGGGGAGCGAACAGGAUUAGAAACCCGUGUAGUCC